CGGGAAUAUUGCGCAAUGGGCGAAAGCCUGACGCAGCGACACCGUGUGUAGGAUGAAAAUCUUCGGAUUGUAAACUACUGUCAGUUGAAGACGAAGGCAGUAGAGUUAAGAGCUCGAAUGUUGACGGUAUUCAAUUAGGAAGUCUCGGCUAACUCCGUGCCAGCAGCCGCGGUAAGACGGAGGAGGCAAGCAUUGUCCGGAAUUAUUGGGCGUAAAGAACACGUAGGCGGUUAAUCAAGUCAUAUGUGAAAACCUUGGGCUUAACUUAAGGAUUGCAUAUGAUACUGGUAAACUAGAGUAUAGUAGAGGAAAGCGGAAUUCCUGGUGUAGCGGUGAAAUGCGCAGAUAUCAGGAAGAACACCAGUGGCGAAAGCGGCUUUCUGGACUGUUACUGACGCUGAGGUGUGAAAGCUAGGGGAGCGAAC
rnacentral:rRNA from 1 species